AGAGUUUGAUCCUGGCUCAGGAUGAACGCUAGCGACAGGCCUAACACAUGCAAGUCGAGGGGUAACAUGAGUGCUUGCACUUGAUGACGACCGGCGCACGGGUGCGUAACGCGUAUGCAACUUACCUUGUACUGGGGAAUAGCCCGUGGAAACGCGGAUUAAUGUCCCAUAACACUACAAUUUCGCAUGGAAAAGUGGUUAAAGUUCCGACGGUACAAGCUGGGCAUGCGUGACAUUAGCUAGUUGGUGAGGUAAGGGCUCACCAAGGCGACGAUGUCUAGGGGUUCUGAGAGGAAGGUCCCCCACACUGGUACUGAGACGCGGACCAGACUCCUACGGGAGGCAGCAGUGAGGAAUAUUGGUCAAUGGGCGCGAGCCUGAACCAGCCAUGUCGCGUGCAGGAAGACUGCCCUACGGGUUGUAAACUGCUUUUGUAUGGGAAGAAACGUUGGUACGUGUACCAAUUUGCCGGUACCAUACGAAUAAGGAUCGGCUAACUCCGUGCCAGCAGCCGCGGUAAUACGGAGGAUCCAAGCGUUAUCCGGAUUUAUUGGGUUUAAAGGGUGCGUAGGCGGUAGAAUAAGUCAGUGGUGAAAUCCUGCAGCUUAACUGUAGAACUGCCAUUGAUACUGUUUUACUUGAGUGUAAUUGAGGUAGGCGGAAUGUGUUGUGUAGCGGUGAAAUGCAUAGAUAUAACACAGAACACCGAUUGCGAAGGCAGCUUACUAAGUUAUAACUGACGCUGAUGCACGAAAGCGUGGGUAGCGAACAGGAUUAGAUACCCUGGUAGUCCACGCCGUAAACGAUGAUUACUCGCUGUAGGCAAUACACCGUCUGUGGCUGAGCGAAAGCAUUAAGUAAUCCACCUGGGGAGUACGUUGGCAACAAUGAAACUCAAAGGAAUUGACGGGGGCCCGCACAAGCGGAGGAACAUGUGGUUUAAUUCGAUGAUACGCGAGGAACCUUACCUGGACUUAAAUGUAGAUUGACGUAUCCAGAGAUGGAUAUUUCCUCGGACAAUUUACAAGGUGCUGCAUGGUUGUCGUCAGCUCGUGCCGUGAGGUGUCGGGUUAAGUCCCAUAACGAGCGCAACCCCUGUUGUUAGUCACCAGCACAUCAUGGUGGGGACUCUAACAAGACUGCCGGUGUAAACCGCGAGGAAGGUGGGAUAGAGCGACAGGCAAGUGGACUCCUUGCACAUCGGGCGGCAUCUUCAUCUUUGCCCCCCUAGAUCGGAAGAGCACACGUCUGAACUCCAGUC
rnacentral:rRNA from 1 species